rnacentral:rRNA from 1 species
UACGGGGGGAGCAAGCGUUGUUCGGAUUUACUGGGCGUAAAGGGCGCGUAGGCGGCCAGUGCAAGUCAGUUGUGAAAUCUCCGAGCUUAACUCGGAAAGGUCAACUGAUACUGCUCGGCUAGAGUGCGGAAGGGGCAACUGGAAUUCUUGGUGUAGCGGUGGAAUGCGUAGAUAUCCGAAAGAACACCGGUGGCGAAGGCGGUGGUCUGGGCCUGAACUGACGCUGAGGAGCGAAAGCCAGGGGAGCAAACGGG